CCAGCAUCAUCACUUCCAAAAUGGCAUCGGGCAUCCCCUUCCGCCAUACAACCAUUAUUCCUGACACUGAGCCGCACAACCAGUCACUGGGCCUCACUGCAGACCUCUUCCCGGGAGACCCUACACCUUCUUGGUCUAGCUAUCUCUUUUACUGUACCAUUUUAUGAUGAUAGUUUCCGUUGCCAUGGUGAAGCUUCUACAUUGUUAGUUAAGACCAUCAUGGUAACGGGUAGGACAAUGGCAUUUGUUAAGAAGAUCCUGUUUUAUUAUUUUAGAUCACAUAUUCUUUUUUGCAGCACAUACAGCUUUUGGGGUUUUCUUUCCUUACAAUAUUAGGUAUAUAUAUAUUUUUUUUUUGCUUUACUAUCUCAGACAGGUUUCUGUCUUUCUUUGUUCCUUUUUUUCUUCCUCCUUCCUUCUUUUGACUGUGGAUGGAAGAAAGUAUGCAGUUUUUGAGGAUUUAAUAGGUUUGUCUUUAGUAUUCUUCGGUAAGAUAGUCAUUUUUUGAUAGCUGAGUCGGGGAUUAAUUCAUAACAAAUUCAGGUAUUUGUAUAUUACUCUUGAAUUUGCCUAAAAUUCUAUUUGCUAUGACAGCUUAGUAUUUGGGUCAAGUACACAUUUUUCCCAUGGUUAAAAUAAGUGAGCUUUAGACUAAGUAGUGACCAUUCAGAGGUCUAUGAUAGGACUUGUCACAGAGAGCAAGAAACUGUUUAUGCCUUCUGUGCUGGGUAUUGUAGAAGAGACUGCGUCAUGUCAUAGAACCAAUUUACAACCUAAAACACUGUUUUAGAAAAGCAGAAGCUACCUUUCAAAUGGGCUGCAGAAAUCAUUUUGAAAGGCAGCGUAUAUUGGGAAGAGAUCAGAUGCAGAAUUUAGUGCCUUUGAGAAGACUAUA
rnacentral:lncRNA from 1 species